CAGAUUUUAAGUCAUGCCAGGGGCUCUGGUGGAAAGGUCAUGGGGAGCCAGGCCUCCGCAUCUUAGCAUUUCAGCUGGAGGAUGACCGGGAGCUCUGGCGUGGCCCUAGACCUGGAACUGAACACCCAGGCGCAGCAGCAGGCAUUUCUCUUGCUUUUUCUUUAUGACUGACCUGGCCUGGCCACGUCCCCGUCAAUGCAGCUGGUUCUCAACGGACCCACUCUUCCCCAGGGCUCCGUUUACAACCAACCUGCUUGUCCUGCUGCACUUAGAGGCAGACGUGCUCCUCCUGAGAAUCCAGGAGUGGACUGAAGAGACCACGUUGCUUUCUGAUCUUUCUCAGGCCAGAGGAAGUUUGUGGGCCAAGUGAUAUUCCUAAUUCAAACUUUAUUAUGUAAUUAUAGUACAAAACAUAUUAUUUUUCUCUUUAUUUUUCCUCUCUCGGUUAAUGGUAAAUUUUAUUGCAUAAAUAAAUUACACAUGCUGUAA